UACAGAGGGUGCGAGCGUUAAUCGGAAUUACUGGGCGUAAAGCGCACGUAGGCGGCUUGGUAUGUCGGGUGUGAAAUCCCCGGGCUCAACCUGGGAACUGCAUCCGAAACUGCCUUGCUAGAGUAUGGGAGAGGGAAGUGGAAUUUCCGGUGUAGCGGUGAAAUGCGUAGAUAUCGAGAGGAACACCUGCGGCGAAGGCGGGUUGCUGGGCCGACACUGACGCUGAUGCGCGAAAGCCAGGGGAGCGAACGGG
rnacentral:rRNA from 1 species